UUUUCUAGCAGCCGUACCCUCAAGAACUGCACCUUCCAACCACCCUUAUAUGAGCCUGCUCCAAAACCUUGCCAGCCAGCACUUCCAGGUUACGACUAUUGACCUCCAGCUCCCAGUUUCAGAGAGUUCUCCCAGUAUCCUGGAUCACACUGGUCUGAAAGCUGUUUGGUAGACAACCUUCGAGUCUUUCUGCCUUCAUACUGUGGGUAUACGGUUCUCCCAACUGAAAACCCAUUUAUUUUCUUAUCUGUCUACUCAAAGCCUAACCAACACCAAAUGGCCUGGAAUUGCCACAUACCUACCAGUUGCCUCUUUCCUCCUCCAGCCCUUGUGAAUGUGAAUUCACAUCUCUGUUCUCUGUGUUCCUUGGCCACUUAGUACCAUUCACAAUAUCUCUCAUAGCUAGUUCUCUGCCUUAGGGCUGGCCCAUGGGACUAAAAUUACUUGUGGUAGGUAUUAUUUUUUUUCAUAUUUCUAUUCUUAUAGCACCUAGCAUAGAACGAACAGCCUAGUAACUAGUGGGUAUCCAAUAACAACUUAUGCAGGUAAUUAGGCAAGAAAAAGAAAUACAGCAUAUUAAAAUUGGAAAGGUGGAAGUCAAAUUGUCCCUGUUUGCUGGCAACAUAAUCUUAUAUAUAGAAGAACUUAAACACUCUGCCAAAAAUCCGUUAGAUCUGAUAAACAAUUCAGUAAGGUUGCAUUGUAUGUAUCAAAACAUCGCUAUGUAACCCAUAGAGAUGUACAAUUAUUUUAUGUUGAUCAAAAAUAAAAUAAUAAAAGCUCUUAAUAAAACAGUCAUCUC
rnacentral:lncRNA from 1 species